AAAGACUCUCGGCAACGGAUAUCUCGGCUCUUGCAUCGAUGAAGAACGUAGCGAAAUGCGAUACUUGGUGUGAAUUGCAGAAUCCCGUGAACCAUCGAGUCGUUGAACGCAAGUUGCGCCCGACGCCAUCAGGUCGAGGGCACGCCUGCCUGGGUGUCGCACA
rnacentral:rRNA from 1 species